rnacentral:rRNA from 1 species
GGGCCCGCACAAGCGGUGGAGCAUGUGGUUUAAUUCGAAGCAACGCGAAGAACCUUACCAAAUCUUGACAUCCUUUGAAAACUCUAGAGAUAGAGCCUUCCCCUUCGGGGGACAAAGUGACAGGUGGUGCAUGGUUGUCGUCAGCUCGUGUCGUGAGAUGUUGGGUUAAGUCCCGCAACGAGCGCAACCCUUAAACUUAGUUGCCAGCAUUUAGUUGGGCACUCUAGGUUGACUGCCGGUGACAAACCGGAGGAAGGUGGGG